UGGAACGACUAACACGUCGCGCCGUAUACAACGAUAUAAUUUACGUGAUUUUAUACGAGUCAUGUCGUAAUAUUUUUAUUUAUUUCCGGCAAACGAAAACUGUAUAAUCAUUAUUGAUACAAAAUCUAUCACAAUUUUUUUUUUUGUUUCAAUAUGAUUGUCUUUCAAACUUCCCGUGAAAAUGUUAAGACAAGUAAAAAAAACCCGAAAUUAAAACAAAAAUAAAAGCGAGAUAAUAAUUUCAAAUUGAUCGUGCAAUAUAAACACAUACAGGUCUGAAUAUGUCACAUAAACAUAUCAUUGCUGGUGUUUUAGCGCUUGCUUUGAUUUUCGCUGAUUACUUAUGUAGUUCAGUUGGAAGUAUGGAAAUUGCCAUUCCUCAUAAAUUUUGCGAAUGUUUUAACACGACCAAUGAUAACGGAUCAAUUAAAUGUACAUGUGUUCAAAGUGAACUCAAAGAAAUUCCAAAUGACCUGCCAAAUCCUUUACAUGAACUGAUAAUUGGAAAAGCAUCAAUUACAAAUUUAACAAAAGAUUCAUUCGCAAAAUACAAAACAAGCCUAAGAGAUAUAACAUUAAGAGACCUAAGAAAUUUAAAUUACAUAGAAAAUGGCAUUUUUGAUAAUAUGGAACAUCUACGAACUAUUGUUAUUCAUAUUGCUCCGAAACUGAAAGAGAUUUCUUCGUCGCUCUUCGAUGUAUAUUUGCCUAGAUUAAAAAUCUUGGGAAUCGUUCGAACGGGAAUCAAAAAAACACCAAACUUAAGUGUAUUGAAGACUAAACAACAUCUUCACAUAGUAGAUCUCGAAAGCAAUCAAAUAGAAAAAUUAAUUUCAGGAGACCUGUCAAUCAGUGCAGAGCAACUUCAGCUCAAUUAUAAUUGUAUUACCGAAGUAGGACCAUUGACUUUCAAAAACGCCGAAAUUGCCACAGUUAACCUAAGAGGUAAUCGAAAACUUCAAAAACUGGACGAUCAAGCUUUCGUUGGGAUUAAAAGUCUUCGCAACCUAGACCUGUCAGAAACAUCAAUACAGAAUCUACCUACAGCCGGUCUCGAAGAACUGGACGUUUUGAAAAUCGAAAAAACCUACACUAUGAACGUUUUCCCGUCCAUCUACAAUUUUAAGAACAUUAAAGAAGCAUGGCUGACAUAUCCAUAUCAUUGUUGCGCUUUCCAUUUUCCUAAAACACACAACCCUCAAGGAUACGCGAACCAUGAGAAACUCCAACAAAAAAUGUUACAAGAAUGCAAAAAUAUACCAUUUGUAGACGCGAUGUCUACGGUAAAAACAAUGCAUUCAACAACGGAGAAUUUUAUCGGCGACGAAAUAUUUCAUUCUGGCGACGUGACAGUCGGUACCAAAGUUGACGUGAUUUGCGGAAACGUUUCGAAAAACUAUCUGGAAGUCAAGUGUUACCCGGAACCGGAUGCGUUUAACCCGUGCGAGGACCUGAUGGGAAACUGGACACUACGAGUAGCCGUAUGGAUCGUGGCCGUGGCCGCUUUGCUGGGAAACAUGGCCGUGUUGUUCGUGUUGCUCAGCAGUCGAUUCCGAUUGACUGUACCCAAGUUCCUCAUGUGCAACUUGGCCAUGGCUGACUUUUGCAUGGGCCUCUAUCUGUUACUGAUCGCCGUCAUGGACGCUCGUUCGAUCGGACAUUACUUCAAUCACGCCAUAUUCUGGCAGAGAGGUAUCGGUUGCCAAGUUGCCGGUUUCCUGACCGUGUUUUCGUGCAUGCUGUCCGUGUUUACGUUGAUGAUCAUCACCGGCGAACGUUGGUACACUAUCACUUACGCCAUACACCUGAAUCGUCGGCUCAAGCUUGGAGCCUCUGUCAACAUAAUGGCCGUCGGUUGGUUGUUCUCGCUGGUUAUGGGUGCGUUACCGCUGAUGGGCACCAGUGGUUACUCGAAGACCAGCAUUUGCCUGCCCAUGGACUACACGACGUUCACCGACAAGGUGUACCUGUUCUCCUUGCUGACGUUCAACGGCAUGGCGUUCGUGUUGAUAUGCGCGUGCUACGCCAAGAUGUACGCGUCGAUCAGGGGCGGCCGGGAAGCGGUGGCGUCGGUGGCCCGGUCCGACAUGACGGUGGCCAAGCGCAUGGCCCUGCUCGUGUUCACCGACUUCGCGUGCUGGGCACCAGUGGCGUUCUUCGGGUUGACCGCGCUCGCCGGUUACCCGCUCAUCGACGUGCCCAAGACCAAAAUCCUGUUGGUGUUCUUUUAUCCGCUCAACUCGUGCGCGAACCCGUACCUGUACGCGCUGCUCACGCAACAGUACCGCCGCGACCUGUUCGUCCUGCUCAGCCGGUUCGGCGUGUGCAGCCGCCGCGCCGACGAGUACAAGGGAACGGGCCCGGUGCCGUGCGGCCGGCGCAAGGCCCACUGCAACGACGCGCAGCGGCACCGGGACCGCCGGGGCUACGGCGGCGGGGGAGGCGAGGGCGGUGGCGGAUUCGGCGGCGGCGACGAGUGCGGCGGCGGCGGCGGUGGCGGUUACGACGACGCGGGACAGAGCGGUGGCGGCGGCGGCGGCAACAACCAUCACCGCGGUUCGGUGAUGACCACCGUCACGUCCGUCGAUUCGGUGAUCGCGUGCCGACCCGGCUCGCUGACGCCGCUCCAGGAGCAGCAGCUCAACUGCACCGUCGAGUACGCGGCGCAUCGCGCGCACUCGCCGCCGCACACGCCGUCGCCGGUGCAGCAACCGUCGUUGAUGACGCCGCUGCAGCAGAACUUGGAACUGAUGCCGCUGCACGGCGGCGGCGGUGGCGGCGACGACGAUGACGACGACUACGACGAUUCCGUGUCGGUCAUUUCGGUGCAACUGCGGCAGAGAUCGCGCGACGGGUGCGGCGAGUAACACGCCGGCCGGCGUUUCGGCCGUCAACGAUCAGCCGUCGACCGUUAUUAAUCCGGACCAACACGAGCGCAAAACCGCCACCCGUCACGUUUUCGACGACAACGAUCUCGUAGUUGUUAAUGUCGCGAGUUUGACUCGUCGUGUUUCACUAAUGAGAAUAUGAUGAUGAUAUAAUGAAACCACUGGUCUUUAUGAAAAAAUAAAUAAAUAAAUAAAUAAAUAAAUACUACUUCCCGUUUUCGGCCCAGCUGCGUGUACGGAUUUAAGAUGGGUAAGUCUAGGAAAACACAGAGUACCAGAAUACCAGCCAAUUGCCA
rnacentral:misc_RNA from 1 species